AGAGUUUGAUCCUGGCUCAGGACGAACGCUGGCGGCGUGCCUAAUACAUGCAAGUCGAACGAAGCUUUCUUUCACCGAAUGCUUGCAUUCACCGAAAGAAGCUUAGUGGCGAACGGGUGAGUAACACGUAGGCAACCUACCCAAAAGAGGGGGAUAACACUUGGAAACAGGUGCUAAUACCGCAUAACCAUGAACACCGCAUGAUGUUCGUGUAAAAGACGGCUUUUGCUGUCACUUUUGGAUGGGCCUGCGGCGUAUUAACUUGUUGGUGGGGUAACGGCCUACCAAGAUGAUGAUACGUAGCCGAACUGAGAGGUUGAUCGGCCACAUUGGGACUGAGACACGGCCCAAACUCCCACGGGAGGCAGCAGUGGGGAAUAUUGCACAAUGGGGGAAACCCUGAUGCAGCGACGCCGCGUGGAGGAAGAAGGUCUUCGGAUUGUAAACUCCUGUUGUUGGGGAAGAUAAUGACGGUACCCAACAAGGAAGUGACGGCUAACUACGUGCCAGCAGCCGCGGUAAAACGUAGGUCACAAGCGCUGUCCGGAAUUACUGGGUGUAAAGGGAGCGCAGGCGGGAAGACAAGUUGGAAGUGAAAUCUAUGGGCUCAACCCAUAAACUGCUUUCAAAACUGUUUUUCUUGAGUAGUGCAGAGGUAGGCGGAAUUCCCGGUGUAGCGGUGGAAUGCGUAGAUAUCGGGAGGAACACCAGUGGCGAAGGCGGCCUACUGGGCACCAACUGACGCUGAGGCUCGAAAGUGUGGGUAGCAAACAGGAUUAGAUACCCUGGUAGUCCACACCGUAAACGAUGAUUACUAGGUGUUGGAGGAUUGACCCCUUCAGUGCCGCAGUUAACACAAUAAGUAAUCCACCUGGGGAGUACGACCGCAAGGUUGAAACUCAAAGGAAUUGACGGGGGCCCGCACAAGCAGUGGAGUAUGUGGUUUAAUUCGACGCAACGCGAAGAACCUUACCAAGUCUUGACAUCCCUUGACAGGCAUAGAAAUAUGUUUUCUCUUCGGAGCAAGGAGACAGGUGGUGCAUGGUUGUCGUCAGCUCGUGUCGUGAGAUGUUGGGUUAAGUCCCGCAACGAGCGCAACCCUUAUGGUCAGUUACUACGCAAGAGGACUCUGGCCAGACUGCCGUUGACAAAACGGAGGAAGGUGGGGAUGACGUCAAAUCAUCAUGCCCUUUAUGACUUGGGCUACACACGUACUACAAUGGCGUUAAACAAAGAGAAGCAAGACCGCGAGGUGGAGCAAAACUCAGAAACAACGUCCCAGUUCGGACUGCAGGCUGCAACUCGCCUGCACGAAGUCGGAAUUGCUAGUAAUCGUGGAUCAGCAUGCCACGGUGAAUACGUUCCCGGGCCUUGUACACACCGCCCGUCACACCAUGAGAGCCGGGGGGACCCGAAGUCGGUAGUCUAACCGCAAGGAGGACGCCGCCGAAGGUAAAACUGGUGAUUGGGGUGAAGUCGUAACAAGGU
rnacentral:rRNA from 1 species